rnacentral:rRNA from 1 species
UACGAGGGGGGCGAGCGUUGUUCGGAAUUAUUGGGCGUAAAGGGCGCGUAGGCGGUCGGAUAAGUCUUGUGUGAAAUCUUCGGGCUCAACUCGAAGUCUGCACAGGAAACUAUCUGGCUUGAGUGUGGGAGAGGUGAGUGGAAUUCCUGGUGUAGCGGUGAAAUGCGUAGAUAUCGGGAAGAACACCCGUGGCGAAGGCGGCUCUCUGGGACGGUACUGACGCUGAGACGCGAAAGCGUGGGGAGCGAACAGG